GCGGGAUGGGGCAGUUCGGUAGCCCGCCGGGGCUACACCUCGGAGGUCGCAGGUUCAAAUCCUGCUCCCGCCA
rnacentral:tRNA from 1 species